CCCUUAGAUGUUCUGGGCUGCACACGUGCUACACUGGCAGGUUCAGCGAGCUUCAUGCCCUGAUCUGAAAGGAAUGGGAAAUCUUUUCAAAACCUGCCGUGCUUGGGAUAGAUGUUUGCAAUUAUUCAUCUUCAACGAGGAUUGCCUUGUAAGCGCACGUCAUCAGCGUGCAUUGAAUACGACCCUGUAUUCUGUACACACCGCCCGUCGCUCCUACCGAUUGAACGUGCUGGUGAAGCGUUAGGACUGGCUCUCGGGGCAGGUCUCCUGCCCCUUGAAUCGGGAAUUUCGUUGAACCCUCCCGUUUAGAGGAAGGAGAAGUCGUAACA
rnacentral:rRNA from 1 species